rnacentral:rRNA from 1 species
AUGGGGAUCUUCGACCUGCUCGACCUGGCCGACGGCGCCUCGGGGGACGAGGCCGUCGCGCGCGUCGUCAAGAAGGUCGUCCCGCCCGACGACCCCGACAAGGCCUCCAAGGCCUCCAGGAAGGCCGCCGCCAAGGACGCCGCCGCCAACGCCGCCGCCCCCAAGGACGACGCCCAGCACGACCAGCACCACCACUACCCCCAAGAGGGUGGGCAUUACCAAAGGGAGGGCAACUUUGGUGGAGGCCGGGGCAGAGGCCAAGGCUACUAUGGUGGUGGUGGUGGUGGCAGAGGAGGCCGUGGAAGGGGGCGUGGCGCCGGAUCCAAUCGUGUCUUUGAGGAUGCCAACGGUCGUUUCUAUAAUGAUGGCUAUCAACGUGUCUACCUCACCAACGACCGUCCAUACUAUGCCAAUGGCAAUGGCAACCGUGACUACAACAACAACAACGGCAACGGCAACGGCAAUGGCGGUGAGGGCCAGAGGUACGGCAAUGAUGACAGGCAGUACAGGAGGGACAACAUGCACUACGUUCCUAAGAGCAAGCCAUCCUCUGUGGCUGCUUCUGAUGUUGAUACCAAGUCUGAAGGCAAGGUGGAGCCUGCUGCUGAGGAAAAGCAGGCCCAAGCCCCUGCUCAGAAUGUUGUUGAAGCCGUCCCUGCUUCUGAAUCUGACAAGUCUACUGGGGAUGUGCAAAAAGAUGAUUCUAAGAAGGAAGAGGGAGAGGGUGCCGAAAAGAAGGCAGAGGGAGAAGGCGCGGAUAAGAAGGAGGGAGAUGGUGCCGAGAAGAAGGAGAAGACCAAUAAGGGCAAGUGUGUCAGUGGCUCUGUCAAGAGGAAGCUCAAGAAGCAAAAGCCUAAGAAGGAAGACUCUAAUGGGGAUGCUCCUAUUGAGACCACUGCUAAGAAAGAGCAGGAGGCUCCCAUUGAACAAGAGAAAAUUGAGAUGACCCUUGAAGAAUAUGAGAAGAUGCAAGAAAAGAAGAAGUCUCUGGAGGCCUCUAAACCUGAGGAGAGGAGGGUUGCUGCUGUAGAUUUUGAGGGUCUCCAGCUCUUGGAGAAGAAGAAGAUUGAGGAUGAUGCUAAAUCAAAGGCAGAAAAUGUUCGCAAGGCAAAGGAGGCUGCUGCAAAGGAAGCUAAACCUCGCAAGGUGAGCAUCCAGGAGUACCUGAAGAAUGAAGAUGGUUCAGAGUACGUACCUCCAACACCACCUAGGCGCCCUCCAUAUGGAGGCGGCUACAGGGGAGGCCGUGGGAACGGUUCUUACAAUGGCCGCAGCAGCCGUGACAACAGCUCUGAGCGCCGGGUCUACAACUCUGGCCGCGGCGAGAGCGCCAUCGUGUUCCACAACGUCGAGGCCAACGCCAACGACAGUGGCGCCCCAAGGAGGGGUGAGGGCUACAAUGGCGAGCGCCGGCAAGGCAGCUACCAGCAAGGUGGGUACAAUGGCGGCAGGGGCAACGGCAGGUACCAGGAGCGCCAGGACGGGUACAAUGGCGAGCGCCGGGACCAGCAGCAGGGUGGCUACUACCAGGAGCGCAAUGGUGACCGCCGGGAGCAAGGCGGGUACAACAAUGGUGGUGGCCGGGGCAAUGGCGGUUACCAGGAGCGCAGGGAUGGCUACAAUGGUGACAACCGCCGGCAGCAAGGCGGGUACAACAAUGGUGGUGGCCGGGGCAAUGGUGGUUACCAGGAGCAAGGCGGGAACAAUGGUGGCCGUGGCCAGGAGCGCCAGGAUGCCUACAAUGGCGAGCGCAGGCAGCAAGGCGGGUACAACAAUGGCGGUGGCCGGGGCAAUGGUGGUAACCAGGAAGGCCAGGACGGUGGCGAGCGCCGGCAGCAAGGCGGGUACAACAAUGGCGGCCGGUACCAGCAGGGCGGCAACUACAGGCAGUGGCAGGGUCCCAGGCCAAAGCAGGACAAGGAGUUCACACCGGCCGACUUCCCAGCUCUAGGUGGCGCAUCUCAGGCGCAGUCGCAGGCCCAGGCCCAGGCCCAGGCCUAG